rnacentral:piRNA from 1 species
UGCAUGUGACAAGACCCCACCAUUAUUGGUA